UAGUACAUAAUUUUAUUCUUGAAUAAAGUAUAUUUUGAUUUUAAAAAUCCUGUAUAAAAAGUUUUGUCUCUGCGACCAUGAAGAGGAGCUGCAGUGUUUUCUCCUGAGCGUGAAGUGGUUCUCAAGAUUUGCUUUAUGCAAUGGCUUGUGAACAUUGAUGACUGUUCCCUUCUCCCAUUGUGGGAGCUGUGGAGGGAGGAAACACAAUCUGAGUGGU